UACGGAGGGUGCAAACGUUGUUCGGAAUCAUUGGGCGUAAAGCGCGCGUAGGCGGCCUGUCAGGUCGGGUGUGAAAGCCCGGGGCUCAACCCCGGAAUGGCGCUCGAAACCGGCAGGCUCGAGUUCCGGAGGGAGAGGUGGAAUUCCAGGUGUAGGGGUGAAAUCCGUAGAGAUCUGGAGGAACACCGGUGGCGAAGGCGACCUCUUGGCCGGAUACUGACGCUGAGGUGCGAAAGCGUGGGGAGCAAACAGG
rnacentral:rRNA from 1 species